rnacentral:rRNA from 1 species
CCUACGGGGGGCUGCAGUGGGGAAUAUUGGACAAUGGGGGCAACCCUGAUCCAGCCAUGCCGCGUGUGUGAAGAAGGCCCUCGUGUUGUAAAGCACUUUCAGUGAGGAAGAACGCCUGGUGGUUAAUACCCAUCAGGAAAGACAUCACUCACAGAAGAAGCACCGGCUAACUCCGUGCCAGCAGCCGCGGUAAUACGGAGGGUGCGAGCGUUAAUCGGAAUUACUGGGCGUAAAGCGCGCGUAGGUGGCUUGAUAAGCCGGUUGUGAAAGCCCCGGGCUCAACCUGGGAACGGCAUCCGGAACUGUCAAGCUAGAGUGCAGGAGAGGAAGGUAGAAUUCCCGGUGUAGCGGUGAAAUACGUAGAGAUCGGGAGGAAUACCAGUGGCGAAGGCGGCCUUCUGGACUGACACUUACACUGAGGUGCGAAAGCGUGGGUAGCAAACAGGAUUAGAUACCCGUGUAGUC